CCUACGGGCGGCAGCAGUGAGGAAUAUUGGUCAAUGGACGAGAGUCUGAACCAGCCAAGUAGCGUGAAGGAUGAAUGCCCUAUGGGUUGUAAACUUCUUUUAUAAAGGAAUAAAACGAGGCACGUGUGCCUGUUUGCAUGUACUUUAUGAAUAAGGAUCGGCUAACUCCGUGCCAGCAGCCGCGGUAAUACGGAGGAUCCGAGCGUUAUCCGGAUUUAUUGGGUUUAAAGGGAGCGUAGAUGGGUUGUUAAGUCAGUUGUGAAAGUUUGCGGCUCAACCGUAAAAUUGCAAUUGAUACUGGCAGUCUUGAGUACAGUUGAGGUAGGCGGAAUUCGUGGUGUAGCGGUGAAAUGCUUAGAUAUCACGAAGAACCCCGAUUGCGAAGGCAGCUUACUAAACUGUGACUGACAUUGAUGCUCGAAAGUGUGGGUAUCAAACAGGAUUAGAUACCCUAGUAGUC
rnacentral:rRNA from 1 species